CGAGUCGAACGGCAGCGCGGGGCAACCUGGCGGCGAGUGGCGAACGGGUGAGUAAUAUAUCGGAACGUACCCUGGAGUGGGGGAUAACGUAGCGAAAGUUACGCUAAUACCGCAUACGAUCUAAGGAUGAAAGUGGGGGAUGCGCAAGCACCUCAUGCUCCUGGAGCGGCCGAUAUCUGAUUAGCUAGUUGGUGGGGUAAAGGCCCACCAAGGCAUCGAUCAGUAGCUGGUCUGAGAGGACGACCAGCCACACUGGAACUGAGACACGGUCCAGACUCCUACGGGAGGCAGCAGUGGGGAAUUUUGGACAAUGGGCGCAAGCCUGAUCCAGCAAUGCCGCGUGAGUGAAGAAGGCCUUCGGGUUGUAAAGCUCUUUUGUCAGGGAAGAAACGGGUCUUUCUAAUACAGAGAUCUAAUGACGGUACCUGAAGAAUAAGCACCGGCUAACUACGUGCCAGCAGCCGCG
rnacentral:rRNA from 1 species